AUUGAACGCUGGCGGAAUGCUUUACACAUGCAAGUCGAACGGUAGAGGGGGCAACCCCUCGAGAGUGGCGAAAGGGUGAGUAAUAUAUCGGAACGUGCCCAGUCGUGGGGGAUAACGUAGCGAAAGUUACGCUAAUACCGCAUACGAUCUAAGGAUGAAAGCGGGGGAUCGCAAGACCUCGCGCGAUUGGAGGGGCCGAUAUCAGAGUAGGUAGUUGGUGGGGUAAAGGCUCACCAAGCCAACGAUCUGUAGCUGGUCUGAGAGGACGACCAGCCACACUGGAACUGAGACACGGUCCAGACUCCUACGGGAGGCAGCAGUGGGGAAUUUUGGACAAUGGACGCAAGUCUGAUCCAGCCAUUCCGCGUGCAGGAUGAAGGCCCUCGGUUUGUAAACUGCUUUUGUACGGAACGAAAAGGUCUCUCUUAAUACGGGGGACUCAUGACGGUACCGUAAGAAUAAGCACCGGCUAACUACGUGCCAGCCGCCGCCGUAA
rnacentral:rRNA from 1 species